GCGUCGGUAGUGCAAUGGGUUAGAACAAGCGCCCCGGAUAGGGUUAGAUACGGGUUCGAGUCCCGAGUGACGCA